AAAAUGGCAUGGAUGAGGAGAGUAGGUUUAAAAUAUCCUGACAGAGAAAAGCUAUCGCAGGCUGAGAGUAGCUUAAGGUAUAUUUAAACUGAAAUGCACCUAGGAGCCGCUGUCCGAAAAUAUAGUAGGCACAGCCGGAGAGGGCACCGUUAUAAGCCCAUAGAGCUGGGGCAUUGUUGAGCCUAAGCAGAGUGGAACCGCGGAAAACCUUCGUCUCUGUA
rnacentral:ncRNA from 1 species